rnacentral:rRNA from 1 species
AUUGGAGGGCAAGUCUGGUGCCAGCAGCCGCGGUAAUUCCAGCUCCAAUAGCGUAUAUUAAAGUUGUUGCCGUUAAAAAGCUCGUAGUUGAACCUUGGACCUGGCUGAUCUGUCCUCCUAAUCGAGCGCACGGAUUCGGUCGGGUCUUUCCUUCUGGGGAGCCCCAUGCCCUUCACUGGGUGUGGUGGGGAACCAGGACUUUUACCUUGAAAAAAUUAGAGUGUUCAAAGCAGGCCUUUGCUCGAAUACAUUAGCAUGGAAUAAUAGAAUAGGACAUCGGUUCUAUUUUGUUGGUUUCUAGGACCGCUGUAAUGAUUAAUAGGGAUAGUCGGGGGCGUCAGUAUUCAAUUGUCAGAGGUGAAAUUCUUGGAUUUAUUGAAGACUAACUACUGCGAAAGCAUUCGCCAAGGAUGUUUUCAUUAAUCAGUGAACGAAAGUUAGGGGAUCGAAGACGAUCAGAUACCGUCGUAGUCUUAACCAUAAACUAUGCCGACUAGGGAUCGG